rnacentral:misc_RNA from 1 species
CCAACAUAAACCACAACAUCCAACUCUAAUCAGCCGACCCAUCUUGCAUUACCAAUGCCAUAAACUAGCGAUCAGGAACAAACAAGCGACGCAAAUAAAUAAACCAGAGAAAAACGAUCAAAACCAGAGAAAAACGAUCAAAACCAAUAACAGAACGCCCAAAACUCACUUGUUAACUUCCAUGAAGCAAUAGCAUCCAACGAUUCCAAACUCCGUUUUAAAAUAAAAAAUCCUAUUCGCUACAAC